AAGUCGUAACAAGGUUUCCGUAGGUGAACCUGCGGAAGGAUCAUUAUUGAAAUAAACCUGAUGGGUUGUUGCUGGUUCUCUAGGGAGCAUGUGCACACCUUGUCAUCUUUAUAUCUCCACCUGUGCACCUUUUGUAGGCCCUGGAAUAUUUUCCAUGGUCUAUGUUGCUUCUGCAUUUUACCCCAAUGUAUGUUAACAGAAUGUUUGUGCCUUAUGAAAUCUAUACAACUUUCAGCAACGGAUCUCUUGGCUCUC
rnacentral:misc_RNA from 1 species